rnacentral:rRNA from 1 species
UACGGAGGAUGCAAGCGUUAUCCGGAAUGAUUGGGCGUAAAGCGUCUGUAGGUGGCUGGGCAAGUCUGCUGUCAAAGACCGGGGCUUAACUUCGGAAAGGCAGUGGAAACUGAACAGCUAGAGUAUGGUAGGGGAAGAGGGAAUUCCUGGUGUAGUGGUGAAAUGCGUAGAGAUCAGGAAGAACACCGGUGGCGAAGGCGGUCUGCUGGGCAGUUGCUGACACUGAGGCGCGAAAGCGUGGGGAGCAAACAGG